AUUGAACGCUGGCGGCAGGCUUAACACAUGCAAGUCGAGCGAGCGGCGGACGGGUGAGUAAUGUCUGGGAAACUGCCUGAUGGAGGGGGAUAACUACUGGAAACGGUAGCUAAUACCGCAUACCAUCAGAUGUGCCCAGAUGGGAUUAGCUAGUAGGUGGGGUAAUGGCUCACCUAGGCGACGAUCCCUAGCUGGUCUGAGAGGAUGACCAGCAACACGGGAACUGGGACACGGUCCAGACUCCGACGGGAGGCAGAAGUGGGGAAUAUUGCACAAUGAGCGCAAGCCGGAUGCAGCCAUGCCGCGGGUGUGAAGAGGGCCUGCGGGUUGAAAAGCACUGUCAGCGAGGAGGCGUUACUCGCAGAAGAAGCACCGGCUAACUCCGUGCCAGCAGCCGCGGUAAUUC
rnacentral:rRNA from 1 species